AGAGUUUGAUCCUGGCUCAGGACGAACGCUGGCGGCGCGUCUAAGACAUGCUAGUCGAGCGAUUAAAGCUCCCUUCGGGGAGUGGAUAAAGCGGCGAACCGGUGAGUAACACGUAUCUAACGUACCCUUGUGUCUGGGAUAGCAGAUCGAAAGGUCUGGUAAUACUGGAUAAUUCGGGAUGGUCUAUGGACUAUCUCGGGAAAGCCUUCGGGCGUACAAGGAUCGGGGUGCGGCCUAUUAGCUAGUUGGUGGGGUAAUGGCCUACCAAGGCAAUGAUGGGUAGCUGGUCUGAGAGGAUGGUCAGCCACACUGGGACUGAGAUAAGGCCCAGACUCCUACGGGAGGCAGCAGUUAAGAAUCUUGCACAAUUAGCGAAAGCUAGAUGCAGCGACGCCGCGUGAAGGAUGAAGGCCUUAGGGUCGUAAACUUCUGUUCUAGGGGAAGAUAAUGACGGUACCCUAGAAGAAAGCCCCGGCCAAUUACGUGCCAGCAGCCGCGGUAACACGUAAGGGGCGAGCGUUGUCCGGAAUUACUGGGCGUAAAGCGCGCGUAGGUGGUUUGAUAAGUCGGAUGUGAAAGCCACGAGCUCAACUCGUGAACUGCGUUCGAAACUGUCUCACUCGAGAGUGGGAGAGGGAAGCGGAAUUCCCGGUGUAGGGGUGAAAUCCUUAGAUAUCGGGAAGAACACCAAUGGCGAAGGCAGCUUCCUGGCCCAUUUCUGACACUGAGGUGCGAAAGCGUGGGGAGCGAACGGGAUUAGAUACCCCGGUAGUCCACGCUGUAAACGAUGGGCACUAGGUUUGGGAGGCAUCGACCCCUUCUGAGCCGCAGCUAACGCAUUAAGUGCCCCGCCUGGGGAGUACGAUCGCAAGAUUAAAACUCAAAGGAAUUGACGG
rnacentral:rRNA from 1 species